CUCGGCUGCCCGCCCGGCCGUCGGGCCACGGGGAGAAGGCGGGAGAGCCAUGGCUCUGUCCCUGGAGGGGCCGGAGGUAAAACCUUUCCCCAGAAUCAUGAAGAAAGUGCAGUCUUUCCUGCGGGCCCUAUUCAGUUUGCGUCCCGUGAAGGCAAGAUGUCCAUCCAAGUUGUUACAAAAGCGCCAUCUCACUUGAGAAAGGGGGCGGCAUUUAGCCCCGUCCAGACGCGUGAACAGCCACACGCUCAGUCCAUAGUGCUGGGCAAGACACCAGAAGCUCCCGUCCAGAAGCCACACUUGAAGCCCUCACACGCGACAGAGCCAGGAUAAAACAAACACCAGGAGAAGGAGCCGAAGAGAGGGAACACGCCGCUGGAGCCCAGAGGCAAACACCUGUUGGAACAUGCUGUGAUAGCGGGUAAGCUGUGGGCACCUGACCACCGGUAAGAGCGCUGGCUGGAAACAGUAGCGUCCGUCAGCGGCAGCCGCGCGGCCACGCACCCACAGGAAGGGCACGUCCCCACGGAAGACUAUCCUAAGGAAGCAGCAAAGUGAGCAAAUACUGUUCAUCUUGACCUUCGAAGACACGUUUUGUUAAUUCUCUGUAACAAACUAGAAGAUACACUUACGCCCUUUAUAAGAUGCACUGGGAAAAAACACUGGUGUGAUUAAGAUGUGAGUGGCAUUAGCUGCUUUUUAAAUUAAACACUUUUUACACAAAGGAAGUGAUGAUAGCUAAAAUAUCAUUACUCAGCCUUGGGUAUUUGGCAAACAUCUUCUCAAAAGUGAAUGAAAUGAGCCCCCAUUUCGAGGAAAACAGUGGAUAGUGUUGGUUGCCUAGAAAAAAAUUGAGACUUCAAGUGAAAAUUAGAAUUUUUGAAAACUCCUGUCUGCCACUGCCACUGUGCCAUCGAUGGCUCCCCACGCCCGCAGGUCCUUGCGGUGGCGAUAGUGGCCGGUGUGAUCUUCUUGAUGUUAUCUGAUGAAAUAUGCCAGUGUCUGGGAGGUCUGUGUGAGUAAGUGAGCCAGUAUUAUCUAAAUGAACAGGGUGUGAUGCUACAAAACCCCACGUGGACAAGAGCCCCAUUUCAAGGGCAAAGCAGACGAGUGGCCUUUAAGCGAGAGCACGAACACCGGCGAUAUGAGUCCCGAUUCCGCACUGCAGCGCGCCUUGAAGGAAGAGCCCCGUGUUGGAGAGCCGGAACUACCUGAGACGGUGCUUGGUUUGCCCUCCCUUUCUAGCCGCCUCUCUCUGUACGGUCAGGUUUCCUUCAUUAAAUGAAACGAAGUGACCGGUCACAACAACAGAGAUGCCACACAGAUCCUGAGAUGCCAGCUGUCUCGAGAGUUGUGAAAAAUGCUACGUAACGCCCCCCCUUUUGUUGUGGAAACUAGCUCUUCUUCACAAAGAUGGCAUUUAUGUCGUGGAUUUGUUUUUACUUUUAGCAGAUGAAUACACAAAUGUGUUUAGAAGUUCUCCAUUUAAAUUUAUGUCCCAGUAACUAAGUAGA